rnacentral:misc_RNA from 1 species
CUGAAAAUAGAUCGCGACGAUGCCGAGUUUAUCUAUACUGAUGCUGUUUUGUUGUUUACUGUACAAAAUACAUCCAAUAAGUGGGGACUACACAUGCAUAUGCAACAAUGGUAAUUUGCCAAAGAACAUAUUCAAAUCCCAAACAGGCGACAGUGAUGUCCUAGGAUACCUGAAAGUUGGUUUCUGUAAAGCAAAUCAUACUGUUACCAAUGGACUUUGGCUGUCGGUAUUGUAUCAGCAUCAGGUCGGAUAUAUACAAAAUGACUCAAACAUUCACAUUUCAAAAUGUGUUGGCGAUCCAAGAAAAGAAGACGCAUUGACAACACCUGUCCCACGUUCAACUGCAGAACCAAUUAUAUCUACAGUCAGCGGAUUCGAAACGACUGACACAACUAUGUUGUCAUCGACAUCAGACUAUAAAGAAAGUACCAAUGGCAACAAAACCACUGAGGCAGUAGAUAUUAUCUCAAGUAUAACGGAAGCAACAAAAAGGCCCGCCUCUCCGACAUCGACAUCAAUUGUUUUGUCCUUCACAGUUUACAGAGGAUCAAACAAAACAAAUUUCAUAACAACUGUUGAAAAGAUGCAAGAAUAUAGUACCGGAAUACCAUACACUACUGCUUCAAAUGAAUUGCAUAAUUCCACUUCUGCUUUACAAGCAUUGACAACACCUGUCCUAAGUACAACUGCAGAACCAAUUAUAUCUACAGUCGGUAGAUCCGAAACGACUGACACUACUAUGUUGUCAUCGACAUCAGAUUAUAAAGAAAGUACCACUGGCAAAAGAAAAAACACAACUUCUGAGGCAAUAGAUGAGACUAUAUCUCAGCCUUACACAAGUAUAGAAUCAACAGAUGUUAUCUCAAGGAUAACGGAAGCAACAAAAAGGCCCGCCUCUCCGACAUCAACAUCAAUUAUUUUGUCCUCCACAGUUUACAGUGGAUCAAACAAAACAAAUUUCAUAACCACUGUUCAAAAGAUGCAAGAAAAUAGUACCAGAAUACCAUACACCACUACUUCAAAUGAAUUGCAUAAUUCAACUCCUGUUUUACAAGGUCAUAUUGAAUUGUGCCCUAACAAAAUACAGCAUCUUUCGAAGCAGCCCGGAGAACUGAUAGCACAGUUAGGAAAGAGUUGCUACCAGGUUGUUCAGACAGCUGUUUCUUGGUCUCAUGCUGAGUCAAACUGCAAACAUAAUGGAGGGCAUCUGAUACAUAUUGCUAACCAACAGGAACAAGACUUUAUCAACAGUUUUCUUGUAAAACAUCAUAGUAAUACAGUAUGGUUAGGUCUACACGAUAGAAAUCAAGAAGAAAAUUUCGAAUGGACGUCAGGUAACUCCAUAACAUACACAAAUUGGAAGCCUGGGCGAAAAGAUGACAGGUAUCACGAUUCCGAGGAUUGUGUUUAUAUGUCACCAUCGACUGGACAGUGGGAUGAUGUAAAAUGUGGUGGUGAUACUUCGUUGUCAGAACUCUUUCAUACACGUCAUGCGUAUAUAUGUCAAUAUGCUACAGUUGAUGCUUCAGUUUCCGAUGGUAACAUAAAUAUGUGUUCUUAUAACCUUCAUCAGCAAGCAGAGAGAGACAGAGGCGUUCUUGGACAGUAUGACCAUAGUUGUUACGAAAUCGUUUCAAAUGCUAAGGUUGCUUGGCAACAUGCUGAAGACAUAUGUCAUAGUAGAGGAGGUCAUCUUGCCUACAUAAGUAGUCUACAAGAACAAGCAUUUAUCCAAAGAUUUCUGAACAGAUAUUCUCCAAGCCAUGCUGUUUGGAUUGGCCUUUCAGACCACAACUCGGAGGGACAUUUUCAGUGGACAUCAGGAGCUCCUGUGCACUUUACAAAUUGGGUACCACAGUCACAUGUCCAAUUAUGUCAGUUCUAGUCAAGAAGAUUGUGUUGCAUUUAUACCAUAUAAAAACGGACAAUGGGAUGAUAUACCAUGCGGAAGCACACACCAUUCCAUAUUUGGCAGGAACGUCCUCAUCCGGAGAAAUACAUCCUCUAUUAUGUCAAUACCGUAUUCCAUCUGUCAGUGAACCAUCGUUGAUUGGCUAAAUGGAUUAAGUUAUGUGUCUUAGGAGAAUAUAUUCUGAAAUAAAAUUGAAAAAUAA